rnacentral:rRNA from 1 species
GAAUCUGGCUCAGGAUGAACGCUAGCUACAGGCUUAACACAUGCAAGUCGAGGGGCAGCAUGGUCUUAGCUUGCUAAGGCCGAUGGCGACCGGCGCACGGGUGAGUAACACGUAUCCAACCUGCCGUCUACUCUUGGACAGCCUUCUGAAAGGAAGAUUAAUACAAGAUGGCAUCAUGAGUUCACAUGUUCACAUGAUUAAAGGUAUUCCGGUAGACGAUGGGG